rnacentral:rRNA from 1 species
UAGGUGAUGGACAACUGGUUGAUAUUCCAGUACCACCAUAAUGCGUUUGACAAAUGGGAUGACGCAGGAGGAUAGGAUGUGCGCACUAUUGGAUGUGCGUCUAAGCACUUAGGGUGUUAAGUAGGCAAAUCCGCUUAAUAUUAAGCCUGAGGUGUGAUGGGGAGCCUAUUUUGGCGAAGUAUCUGAUUCCACGCUGCCAAGAAAAGUCUCUAUGGAGCAAAAUGGUGCCCGUACCGCAAACCGACACAGGUAGAUGAGGAGAGAAUCCUAAGGUCGUCGGAAGAAUUAUUGCUAAGGAACUCGGCAAAUUGACCCCGUAACUUAGGGAGAAGGGGUGCCUACGAGAGUAGGCCGCAGUGAAUAGGCUCAAGCAACUGUUUAUCAAAAACACAGGUCUCUGCUAAAGCGCAAGCUGAUGUAUAGGGGCUGACGCCUGCCCGGUGCUGGAAGGUUAAGGGGAAUAGUUAGCGCAAGCGAAGCUAUGAACUUAAGCCCCAGUAAACGGCGGCCGUAACUAUAACGGUCCUAA